CGAGGGGUAACAGAUCUUCGGAUGCUGACGACCGGCGAACGGGUGAGUAACACGUAUGCAACUUACCCAUAACUCGGGAAUAGCCCAAAGAAAUUUGGAUUAAUACCCAAUAAUACAGGCGUACCGCAUGGUAUUCUUCGUUAAAGAAUAAUCGGUUAUGGAUAGGCAUGCGUUCUAUUAGGUAGUUGGUGAGGUAACGGCUCACCAAGCCGACGAUGGAUAGGGGAACUGAGAGGUUGUCCCCCCACACUGGUACUGAGACACGGACCAGACUCCUACGGGAGGCAGCAGUGAGGAAUAUUGGUCAAUGGACGAAAGUCUGAACCAGCCAAAUCGCGUGAAGGAAGAGGGUAUUAUGUAUCGUAAACUUCUUUUGUAAGAGAGUAAAGUGCACUACGUGUAGUGUAUUGCAAGUACCUUACGAAUAAGCAUCGGCUAAUUCCGUGCCAGCAGCCGCGGUAAUACGGAAGAUGCAAGUGUUAUCCGGAUUUAUUGGGUUUAAAGGGUGCGUAGGUGGUCUAAUAAGUCAGUGAUGAAAUCUCUUUGCUUAACAAGGAAAUUGCCAUUGAAACUGUUAGACUUGAGAAUGGACGAGGUAGGCGGAAUUCGUAGUGUAGCGGUGAAAUGCAUAGAUAUUACGAAGAACUCCAAUAGUGUAGACUGCUUACCAGACCAUAUCUGACACUAAAGCACGAAAGUGUGGGUAUCAAACAGGAUUAGAUACCCUGGUAGUCCACACAGUAAACGAUGAAUACUAACUGUUUGCGAUAUACAGCAAGUGGUCGAGCGAAAGCGUUAAGUAUUCCACCUGGGAAGUAUGCCGGCAACGGUGAACUCAAGGAAUUGACGGGGCCCGCACAGCGAGAACAUGUGGUUUAAUUCGAUAAUACGCGAGAACUUACCCGGGCUCGACGAUAUUUGAAUACAUCCG
rnacentral:rRNA from 1 species